AGACUUUGAGAACAAUCUGAAGGACAAACCCCAAGCUUUUUGGAGGCUGCUAAGCCCAGAAUAUGGAGCAGCCCUGCUGGUCGGAUGGGCAGACGACGGCACCGACAGAGGCUUCCCAGUGCGACACCCCAAGGUUUUCCCUUCCUUGGGCCAACGUCCUCCUCCAGCAGCUCUUCAAAAGUUACCAGAGUGAAGGUUCCUGAUUACAAUGAAGAG